rnacentral:rRNA from 1 species
CCUACGGGAGGCAGCAGUGGGGAAUAUUGCACAAUGGGGGAAACCCUGAUGCAGCGACGCCGCGUGAGUGAAGAAGUAAUUCGUUAUGUAAAGCUCUAUCAGCCGGGAAGAAAAUGACGGUACCUGAGUAAGACGCCCCUGCUAAGUAGGUGACAGCAGCCGCGGUAAUACGUAGGGGGCAAGCGUUAUCCGGAUUUACGGGGUGUAACGGGAGCGUAGACGGGAGGGCAGGUCUGGAGGGAAAGGCGAGGGCUCAACCCCCGGACUGCUAUGGAAACUGUACGGCUGGAGUGCAGGAGAGGUAAGUGGAAUUCCUGGUGUAGCGGUGAAAUGCGUAGAUAUUAGGAGGAACACCAGUGGCGAAGGCGGCUUACUGGACUGUAACUGACGUUGAGGCUCGAAAGCGUGGGUAGCAAACAGGAUUAGAUACCCGUGUAGUC